rnacentral:lncRNA from 1 species
AUGGAAGCCCGAGAGUCAGCCCCAAAAAUGUAUUGGGGGGGGGGGGGGCUCACAGGGAGUAUGGCUAUGCCAGGUAGGAGACCUGUGCAAACUCCCUGUGGUUACCGGGGGGCAAGAGAGACCGGGCAGGCACCGUGUUAUGCGGUGGAGCGCACGGUGUCCCCAGUGCGGGUGCACAGCCCGGUGCGGUACAUUCCAGCUCCGCGUAUCGGCCGGGCUAGAGUGGGCAUCGAGCCAAGUGCCAUGAAGCCGGCUCUACGCAUCUGGUCUCCAGUGCGUCUCCUUGGGCCGGCUUACAUGGCACCAACCUUGCGCACGGUGUCCCCGGUUUGCCUGCAUAGCCCAGUGCGGGCUAUUCCACCUCGCCGCACUGGCAGGGCGACCGGGACCAUUCAACCGGGUAAGGUUGGGCAGGCUCGGUGCUCAAGAGCUCCAGUGCGCCUGCACGGCCCGGUCUAUCCGUCACCACCUCCACGCACCAGCCCUCCGGUGGCAGCCCCCCGCACCAGGCUGUCUCUCCGGCCCAUCCUUACAGGGGCUCCCUCCUCUCCAGUGCUGCCGGAGCCUCCCGCCUGUCUGGCGCCGCUGCCGGAGCCUCCCGCCUGUCCGGAGCCUCCCGCCUGUCCGGCGCCGCUGCCGGAGCCUCCCGCCUGUCCGGAGCUUCCCGCCUGUCCGGAGCUUCCCGCCUGUCCGGAGCCUCCCGCCUGUCCGGCGCUGCUGCCGGAGCCUCCCGCCUGUCCGGAGCCUCCCGCCUGUCCGGCGCCGCUGCCGGAGCCUCCCGCCUGUCCGGCGCCGCUGCCGGAGUCUGAGGCGCCAGAGCCCCUCAGCCCAGAGGCGCCAGAGCUUCUGCCCCUCUGUCCAGAGCUUCUGCCCCUCUGUCCAGAGCUUCUGCCCCUCUGUCCAGAGCUUCUGCCCCUCUGUCCAGAGCUUCUGCCCCUCUGUCCAGAGCUUCCGCCCCUCUGUCCAGAGCUUCCGCCCCUCUGUCCCGAGCUGCCCCUCUGUCCAGUGGGGUCAUUGAGAGGGGUGGCCAUGGUUAGAAAGCCACGGAGGCGGACAAUGAGGCGGACUAAGACAAUGGUUAAGUGGGGUCCGCGUCCCGCGCCAGAGCCGCCACCGCGGACAGACGCCCACCCAGACCCUCCCCUAUAG